AUUGAACGCUGGCGGCAGGCCUAACACAUGCAAGUCGAACGAGUGGCGGACGGGUGAGUAAUGUCUGGGAAACUGCCUGAUGGAGGGGGAUAACUACUGGAAACGGUAGCUAAUACCGCAUACCAUCGGAUGUGCCCAGAUGGGAUUAGCUAGUGGGUGGGGUAACGGCUCACCUAGGCGACGAUCCCUAGCUGGUCUGAGAGGAUGACAGGCCCGCCUGGAACUGAUACACGGUCCGGACGCCUACGGGAGGCAGCAGUGGGGAAUAUUGCAAAAUGGGCGCAAGCCGAAUGCAGCCAUGCCGCGUGUAUGAAGAAGGCCUUCGGGUUGUAAAGUACUUUCAGCGGGGAGGCGUUACCCGCAGAAGAAGCACCGGCUAACUCCGUGCCAGCAGCCGCGGUAAUAC
rnacentral:rRNA from 1 species